rnacentral:tRNA from 1 species
GAGCGCUUGAAAUACGGGGUAUCGGCAUUCGCGAUGUUGUCAGCAAUCGUUCGUUGUCUGAUGUUCGACGCAUCGAGUGCACC